GAUGAACGCUGGCGGCGUGCCUAAUACAUGCAAGUCGAGCGAACAGAUGAGGAGCUUGCUCCUCUGACGUUAGCGGCGGACGGGUGAGUAACACGUGGAUAACCUACCUAUAAGACUGGGAUAACUUCGGGAAACCGGAGCUAAUACCGGAUAAUAUAUUGAACCGCAUGGUUCAAUAGUGAAAGACGGUUUUGCUGUCACUUAUAGAUUGAUCCGCGCCGCAUUAGCUAGUUGGUAAGGUAACGGCUUACCAAGGCAACGAUGCGUAGCCGACCUGAGAGGGUGAUCGGCCACACUGGAACUGAGACACGGUACAGACUCCGACGGGAGGCAGCAGUAGGGAAUCUUCCGCAAUGGGCGAAAGCCUGACGGAGCAACGCCGCGUGAGUGAUGAAGGUCUUCGGAUCGUAAAACUCUGUUAUUAGGGAAGAACAAAUGUGUAAGUAACUAUGCACGUCUUGACGGUACCUAAUCAGAAAGCCACGGCUAACUACGUG
rnacentral:rRNA from 1 species